AUUGAACGCUGGCGGCAUGCCUUACACAUGCAAGUCGAACGGCAGCACGGGAGCAAUCCUGGUGGCGAGUGGCGAACGGGUGAGUAAUAUAUCGGAACGUGCCCAGUCGUGGGGGAUAACGCAGCGAAAGCUGUGCUAAUACCGCAUACGAUCUAAGAAUGAAAGCGGGGGAUCGCAAGACCUCGCGCGAUUGGAGCGGCCGAUAUCAGAUUAGCUAGUUGGGGGGGUAAAGGACCACCAAGGCGACGAUCUGUAGCUGGUCUGAGAGGACGACCAGCCACACUGGAACUGAGACACGGUCCAGACUCCUACGGGAGGCAGCAGUGGGGAAUUUUGGACAAUGGGCGCAAGCCUGAUCCAGCAAUGCCGCGUGCAGGAUGAAGGCCUUCGGGUUGUAAACUGCUUUUGUACGGAACGAAACGGCCCUUUCUAAUACAGGGGGCUAAUGACGGUACCGUAAGAAUAAGCACCGGCUAACUACGUGCCAGCAGCCGCCGUAAAAC
rnacentral:rRNA from 1 species